GUUGUUGCAGUUAAAAAGCUCGUAGUUGGAUUUCUGGUGGGAGCGGUCGGUGCGGUCCUCAGGAUUGCUACUCGUACCGUCUCUCGCCAUCCUUGGGUCGAUCCUGUCUGGCAUUAAAUUGUCGGGCAAGGGAUGCCCAUCGUUUACUGUGAAAAAAUUAUAGUGUUCAAAGCAGGCUUAUGCCGUUGAAUAUAUUAUCAUGGAAUAAUAAGAUAGGACUUUGGUACUAUUUUGUUGGUUUGCGCACCAAAGUAAUGAUUAAUAGGGACAGUUGGGGGUAUUCGUAUUCCGUUGUCAGAGGUGAAAUUCUUGGAUUUCCGGAAGACGAACUACUGCGAAAGCAUUUACCAAAGAUGUUUUCAUUAAUCAAAAACGAAAGUUAGGGGAUCGAAGAUGAUUAGAUACCAUCGUAUUCUUAACCAUAAACUAUGCCGACUCGGGAUUGGCGGUCGUUAAUUUUGACCCCGUCAGCACCGUAUGUGAAAACAAAGUCUUUGGGUUCCGGGGGGAGUAUGGUCUCAAGGCUGAAACUUAAAGAAAUUGACGGAAGGGCACCACCAGGAGUGGAGCCUGCGGCUUAAUUUGACUCAACACGGGAGAACUUACCAGGUCCAGACAUAGUGAGGAUU
rnacentral:rRNA from 1 species